GGGCUCGUAGCUCAAUGGUAGAGCAAAUGUCUUAUACACAUUAUGUUGCAGGUUCGAGUCCUGCCGAGCCCACCA
rnacentral:tRNA from 1 species